CCGGACCUGACUGCUAUCGGAUUGAUACUAAGCCAUGCGAGUCAUUGUAGCAAUACAAGGCGGACGGCUCAGUAACACGUAGUCAACCUAACCUAUGGACGUGGAUAACCUCGGGAAACUGAGAAUAAACCGCGAUAGAUCAUGAUGCCUGGAAUGGCUUAUGGUUCAAACAAUUUAUUGCCAUAGGAUGGGACUGCGGCCUAUCAGCUUGUUGGUGAGGUAAUGGCCCACCAAGGCUAUAACAGGUACGGGCUCUGAGAGGAGAAGCCCGGAGAUGGGUACUGAGACACGGACCCAGGCCCUAUGGGGCGCAGCAGGCGAGAAACCUUAGCAAUGUGCGAAAGCACGACUAGGUUAAUCCGAGUGGUUCCUGCUAAAGGAACCUUUUGUCAGUCGUAAAACCACAGACGAAUAAGGGGUAGGCAAGUCUGGUGUCAGCCGCCGCGGUAAUACCAGCACCUCGAGUGGUCAGGACGUUUAUUGGGCCUAAAGCAUCCGUAGCCGGCUCUGCAAGUCUUCGGUUAAAUCCACCUGCUCAACAGAUGGGCCGCUGGAGAUACUACAGAGCUAGGGAGUGGGAGAGGCAGACGGUAUUCAGUGGGUAGGGGUAAAAUCCUCUGAUCCAUUGAGGACCACCAGUGGCGAAGGCGGUCUGCCAGAACACGUUCGACGGUGAGGGAUGAAAGCUGGGGGAGCAAACCGGAUUAGAUACCCGGGUAGUCCCAGCUGUAAACGAUGCAAACUCGGUGAUGCAUUGGCUUAUGGCCAAUGCAGUGCCGCAGGGAAGCCGUUAAGUUUGCCGCCUGGGAAGUACGGACGCAAGUCUGAAACUUAAAGGAAUUGGCGGGGGAGCA
rnacentral:rRNA from 1 species